CGAACGCUGGCGGCAGGCCUAACACAUGCAAGUCGAACGCCCUAGCAAUAGGGAGUGGCAGACGGGUGAGUGACACGUGGGAACCUUCCCUAUAGUACGGAAUAGCUCAGGGAAACUUGAAGUAAUACCGUAUACGCCCGAGAGGGGAAAGAUUUAUCGCUAUAGGAUGGGCCCGCGUCGGAUUAGCUAGUUGGUGAGGUAAUGGCUCACCAAGGCGACGAUCCGUAGCUGGUUUGAGAGAACGACCAGCCACACUGGGACUGAGACACGGCCCAGACUCCUACGGGAGGCAGCAGUGGGGAAUAUUGGACAAUGGGCGCAAGCCUGAUCCAGCCAUGCCGCGUGAGUGAUGAAGGCCUUAGGGUUGUAAAGCUCUUUUAGCAGGGAAGAUAAUGACUGUACCUGCAGAAUAAGCUCCGGCUAACUUCGUG
rnacentral:rRNA from 1 species